rnacentral:lncRNA from 1 species
AUGAUUUGUCCUAUCAGCCAAUUAUUUAUUUUGUUUCAACUAUCCAUGAUACUAUCCAAGAGUGGUAUUGUCCAGACUCUACAUCCAUGGCUUGCAGCUGACCGGGAGGUGAAAGGCGCCUGGGAACAAAAGAGCAUCCCUCAGUCACCCAGCGGGCAGAGCGUGCGUAUAAUGUGUGAGUUACAGAGCUAUUAUUAUCUAAAGUCAGAGCCAAUCAUAAGCAAGCAGCUGAGCCUGACUGCAGUUGACUGAGAACAGAAACACAGAGGCUAGAUUUACCUGGUCCAUGUCUACAGAGUGUGCAAAGCCUUAUGCAAAACAAAAGUUGUCUAUUGCAGCCCAAGCAAGAGAAAGUCAGAUAAUAAGCAGAAGGAUUAUGCCACAUCUGGAUGUAUUGCCUUCCAUGACAAAGGAGGUGUUUUCCUGUGCUUUCACCACUCAUAUUGCUACAUCAUGUGUAAAAAAUGUAGCAUUUCAGAGGUAAAGAACUGAUAUACAGGGACACCUGUAUUUUCUAGGUGACCCAACAAAAUGUAUUACUGUGAUCUAGGUUUUAACCUCAUUUAUACUUAAUACAUACUUAAAACUAAGUAUACCUAAUCCCUGUAGGCCAGGUUUCUAAACAGUUUAUUUUCUUUUCCUUCCCCUUAACUGACUGUGGGUAGGAGGUGUUCUGAUACUCCGUGAUUUUCCUGUUUUCUUUGAAACUUUAAGCUGUUUUAAGCUUGUCUUGAAAACAUUUUUCUUUUUCCAUUUUUUUUUUUUUUUCCCCCUCAUGCUUUUUCUCCUUUAGUACUUUUUAAGCAUCAGAGCUGACUUUUAACUAGCUUUUCAACUUGCAUAGCACUGCAGCUCAUUGUAUUUCACUUUGUCAGGCUGGGUCAAAUCUAGCUCACUGUCGACACAUGAUUUAUUCCAAUUACCUUUGCUUUUUAUUUCCACAUGUUGCCUACUUUUACAAGGACUUCUUAAUACAGUGCUGCUAAAAUGUUUUGGGGACAUCUGUGAAUAGUAUUGCCUUUGUGGCUGCAAGACACAGACAGAAAAAAUAUGUACUCAAGUGAAUACUUCUUAGUAAAUACAGGCAGUAAAGUCAGAUAAGUCUCAACUUCUCAUCCUGAAAUGACCACCUGCUGUAUUGAUUUUUUCAUCAGCCGAGUCAGUAAAUGUUUUAGUUGUAUAUAUUCUUUCUUACUGGACAUGUUAUGUUUUGGAGAUGUCUUUUUUCACUGUCUUUGAUUUUCUAUACUACCCACCACCAGAGUGAAACAAAUUGAUCAAUGACACUGCUGCUACAAGUAUUGCUGAUCAUUUGUUUUAAGCUCUAAGAGUCUGUUUUCCACAGGCACUCUUGAUCUUUCUUUAACUUUUGCAAUCCACUUUAUCUGGACAGCUUCUUUACUUUGCAUUCUACUAUGUCAUUUAUGUCCUGUUUCGAUGAUUAUUCCUUCCAUUAGAUCUUCUGUGGAUCUUCUUCCCAAUCACUUUCUCUCAUGAUAUUGACGGAAUCUUUUUCUUUUAUCUUUGUUAGAACUUUCUGUGCCAGCAAGUCAGUAUUAUAUUUCCUCAAGUCUCACUAUCUAGCCUGCCCAGUAUCCUGUUUCUCUCUGUCUAUGACACAUUCUCAGGAAAUAAUGCUAGUCUGUUCUUUUCUUUUGAAUCUUUCUUGCAAAAUCAUCAUCUUUGACACCUUCGUAUCAUCUUACACAACUAACUAGUCACCCUGUCAUUCACUUCACAAUCUUGUGGUUAUUUUUUGCUUUCUGCUUUUCUUUCCAUAAACCUUACUAGAUCUCAUUAUUUCAUUCUUAGUAAUGUUUUGAAAUCCCAUUUCUUACAUCACUUUCACACUAUAAAAUCCCAGGACACUCACUGGUCUUUCUCAUAUGCUGUGACCAUUUUCUCAGUUCUGACUCUGUACCACUCCUUCAGGCUAAAUGUGCAGCAGAAGUGAAACUGCUUCGAACUGGUUGCUCUGUCACUAAAGCCUUUAAUCUGGUUCUUGUGGCUUUUCAUUCACUCCUACCUUUAGCAUUAAAUUUAUACUUACUGAACUCUAUAUACUUUAUUUUUCUAAUUUUCACAAUUAAAAAUGUAUAAGUACAAGAGAAAUCUGUACAUUCCAGUAGAACGUUCAACUGUGAAGCCUUUAGUGCCUUUAGGACUGCGCAAGAUAAAUGCCAGAGAAUUCCUGAGGAUUCUGUUACUUGUGUCAGGAUGGCCCUGAGACCAUAGUCACAUUCAUAGAACAAUAUUUGAGUACUGAAAUCUGCACUAAUUUCAAAUGAAGUUUUAACAGAAUACUUUUUCCUGCUGUUUUUAAAAAACAUCUUUUUCUGAUAUUUAUUAUUGACUCCAUAUUCUUAGAUUAAAGGUCUCAAUUAGAUUUAACUAUUCUAUGUUGAAAAUUAUAGUCCUGAGAUAAUUUUAGCUAAUUUUAGUGUUCUGUGGAAUAUUAUCCUGGAGCAUGCGACUGUCUAUCUUUUGUGUUGCUGCCUUGUGAUAGGAGUUUACAGCCUCCUUCAUUUCCUAUAGAUUGGAGGAACACAGAUUUGGUAUAUGUAUACACAUAUUUUGAAUUACUCUUUGCGGGUAACCUUAUUGUACUGGAUAUGAAGCAGGAAAAAAGAGACAUUGGUCAGGUGAAAGAAUAUAUAUAAAAUGGAUUCAGCAGCUAAUACUGAUGACAGCAAUAUAUACACAAAGAAAAACAUCAGUCAAGAGAACAGAGACAAAUCUAAAAGAAACACCUUUGAGGGGUGUUUCUUUUCAAAGAAACAAUGAAGGGGGAAAUUUCUUAGAACAAUAACCCCACAUAUUCUACUGGGAUGUGGAAAAUGUUCUUACUCAAGGAUACAUUUGGUAUUCUAACUUCAGCAGAAUUUGUGAUAAAGAAUUGACAGUGAGAAAGACAGACAAUUGUUACACAUGCAUAUGCUGAGGUGUUGAGUUUUCUGAGAGUAGGUUUGGGUUUUUUUGUUUGUUUCUCUGGAUUUUGAUGUUUUUGUUUGUUUAGUUGUUCGGGUUUUUUUUCCUUAGAUUCUAUAGAGUAGCUGCUGGUGAUUCCAAAAAACAAUCAGAUUCAAAACGAAGCACGUGCAAUAUAAGAAUCUUUGAAAAUAACAUAUCACAGAGGAAUUUUAUUUAAAAAAUAAAAUUAAGGCAUUAAAAUUAAUUAAAUGUAAC